rnacentral:rRNA from 1 species
CAGUAGCCGCGGGAACACGUAGGGUGCGAGCGUUGUCCGGAAUUACUGGGCGUAAAGAGCUCGUAGGCGGUUUGUCGCGUCGUCUGUGAAAUUCUGCAGCUUAACUGUAGGCGUGCAGGCGAUACGGGCAGACUUGAGUACUACAGGGGAGACUGGAAUUCCUGGUGUAGCGGUGAAAUGCGCAGAUAUCAGGAGGAACACCGGUGGCGAAGGCGGGUCUCUGGGUAGUAACUGACGCUGAGGAGCGAAAGCGUGGGUAGCGAACAGGAUUAGAUACCCCGGUAGUCCCUGUCUCUUAUAC